rnacentral:rRNA from 1 species
UGGGGAAUCUUGCGCAAUGGGUGAAAGCUUGAUGUAGUGAUGUUGUGUGGGUGAUGAAGGUUUUUGGGUUGUAAAGUUUUGUGGGGUGAGAAGAAUAAGUUGUAGUGAAUAGUUAUGAUGAUGAUGGUAUUGUUGUAGUAAGUACCGGCUAACUCUGUGCCAGCAGCCGCGGUAAGACAGAGGGUGCAAACGUUGUUCGGAAUCACUGGGCGUAAAGGGUGUGUAGGCGGUGCAAAAAGCCAGGCGUGAAAGCCCGGGGCUCAACCCCGGAAGUGCGCUUGGAACUAUUGCGCUAGAGUCUUGGAGAGGUUGGCGGAAUUCCAGGUGUAGAGGUGAAAUUCGUAGAUAUCUGGAAGAACACCGGCGGCGAAGGCGGCCAACUGGACAAAGACUGACGCUGAGACACGAAAGCGUGGGGAGCAAGCAGG